rnacentral:rRNA from 1 species
UACGUAGGGUGCAAGCGUUAAUCGGAAUUACUGGGCGUAAAGCGUGCGCAGGCGGCUUUGCAAGACAGAUGUGAAAUCCCCGGGCUCAACCUGGGAACUGCAUUUGUGACUGCAAGGCUAGAGUACGGCAGAGGGGGAUGGAAUUCCGCGUGUAGCAGUGGAAUGCGUAGAUAUGCGGAGGAACACCGAUGGCGAAGGCAAUCCCCUGGGCCUGUACUGACGCUCAUGCACGAAAGCGUGGGGAGCAAACAGG